CCUUCCCUAAGUUCUCCCAGGGCGCUGCCAGAGCCCUGCCGGCUAAGGGAUGGGGAAACAAACAGGUGGGGCUGUAAUCUCGUAAUUCCCAGUCAAAAGAGGUAGGAAGGGAUGCUGAGGACCCAGGGAUACUGAUGAUUGGGCUGACCCAGAAGUGGCCAUCUUUGUGGAAACCAGGCUGGAGUGCAAUGGUGUGAUCUCAGCUCACUGCAACCUCCACCUCCAGGGUUCAAGCAAUUCUACUGCCUCAGCCUCCCGAGUAGCUGGCAUUACAGGCGCAUGCAACCACGCCCAGCUAAUUUUUUGCAUUUUUAGUAGAGACGGGGUUUCACCGUGUUGGCUAGGCUGGUCUCAAACUCCUGAUCUCAGGUCAUCUGCCUGCCUCAGCCUCCCAAAGUGCUGCAAUCACAGGCAUGAGCCACCUGGCCUGUUUUUUAAAAAGCCUAAGCCUGUUGACCCCAGGCUCCACAAUCUUCAAUUUUCCGAGUCUCAGUUUUUUUUUCAUGAGUAAAAUAGAGGUAAUACCUACCUCACAGAGAUUUUGUGAAGAUUAAAUGAAACAGUGUCUGGACCAUAAGUGCCCAAUAUAAAGUCAUCCAGAGUAAAGUCAUAGGGCUCAAAGUCUUUCCGGAAGCGGCGAGCCAGGGUCUCCUCGUCUUCCUUGCUGAUCUGACACUGCCUCCAGUCAGACUUAUCAGGAACAUUAAGGAUGGCUUCACUGGCCAGGACCUCCCUGCAGAAAUAGCACAAAGAAGUCAAAAUGGAAACUAUCAGCCUGAGCUCUCCUCAACAUCACCCAAAGGAGGGGACUCAGGCCCACGUAACAGCAGCACAAGCCCAAUGUCAACAAAAC
rnacentral:lncRNA from 10 species